GUCUGCUUCAGCAGCACAUACACUAAAACUAGAACCACACAGAGAAGAUGAUCAUGAUCCCUGUCCAGACAGCUCGCAGAUUCUUGAAGUGUUCUGUAUUUUG
ensembl:snRNA U6 U6 spliceosomal RNA